AUUGUUGAGAGUUUGAUCCUGGCUCAGGAUGAACGCUGGCGGCGUGUCUAAGGCAUGCAAGUCGAACGAGCACUUCGGUGCAAGUGGCAAACGGGUGAGUAACACCUUGGUAACCUACCCCGGAGACGGGCACAACCAUUCGAAAGAGUGGCUAAUUCCCGAUGAUGUACAGCCACACAUGCGGUCUGUACAAAAUGGUUUUUCGCUCUGGGAGGGGCCUAGGUCCUAUCAGGUAGUUGGUGGGGUAACGGCCUACCAAGCCAACGACGGGUAGCGGGUGUGAGAGCACGACCCGCCUCAUGGGAACUGAGACACUGUCCCAACACCUACGGGUGGCUGCAGUCAAGAAUCUUCCGCAAUGCGCGAAAGCGUGACGGAGCGACGCCGCGUGCCAGAUGAAGCCCUUCGGGGUGUAAAUGGCUUUUCCCAAGGACGAAAUCUUGACGGUACUUGGGGAAUAAGGGGCCGCCAAACUCGUGCCAGCAGCGGCGGUAAUACGAGUGCCCCGAGCGUUAUCCGGAUUCACUGGGCGUAAAGGGUCCGCAGGCGGCCUGAUACAUCCGCUGUCAAAUCUCAGGGCUCAACCCUGAGGCCGCAGCGGAGAUGGUCGGGCUCGAGGUCGGGAGAGGUGUGCGGAACUGCAGGUGUAGGGGUAAAAUCCGUUCAUAUCUGCAGGAACACCAAAGGCGAAGGCAGCACACUGGAACGAUUCUGACGCUCAUGGACGAAAGCGUGGGUAGCGAAGGGGAUUAGAUACCCCCGUAGUCCACGCCCUAAACGAUGAAUGCUAGGUAUCGGGAGUAUCGACCCUCUCGGUGCCCUUCAUGAAGCUAACGCAUUAAGCAUUCCGCCUGGGAAGUACGGCCGCAAGGCUAAAACUCAAAGGAAUAGACGGGGACCCGCACAAGCGGUGGAUCAUGUGGUUUAAUUCGAUGCAAAGCGAGGAACCUCACCAGGGCUUGACAUUCUGCUGCAAGCGCACGGAAACGUGUGACCUUCGAGGGUGCAGAACAGGCGCUGCAUGGCUAUCGUCAGCUCGUGCCGUGAGGUGUUCCCUUCAGUGGGGUAACGAGCGCAACCCUCGUCCCAUGUCUCAAUCAACCAUGGGAGACUGCUCUGGCAACAGAGAGGAAGGCGAGGAUGACGUUAAGUCAGCAUGGCCCUUAUGUCCUGGGCUACACACGUGGUACAAUGGUCGGUACAACGGGAUGCGAAACCGCGAGGUGGAGCAAAACCUAUAAAACCGAUCCCAGUCCGGAUUGGAGGCUGCAAUUCGCCUCCAUGAAGUUGGAAUCGCUAGUAAACGUGCAUCAGCCACGGCGCGUUGAAUACGUUCUCGGGUCUUGUACUCACCGCCCGUCACGUCAAGCGAGUUGGGAGCUCCUGAAGGUCUCGGUUCCGGGAUCCAAGGAGAGCCUGAUGAGAGGGACGAAGUCGUAACAAGGCAGGGCUAGCGGAAGCUGGUCCUGGAUCACCUCCUUU
rnacentral:rRNA from 1 species